UACGGAGGAUGCGAGCGUUAUCCGGAUUUAUUGGGUUUAAAGGGUGCGUAGGCGGACUGUCAAGUCAGCGGUAAAAUUGAGAGGCUCAACCUCUUCCCGCCGUUGAAACUGGUGGUCUUGAGUGGAUGAGAAGUACGCGGAAUGCGUGGUGUAGCGGUGAAAUGCAUAGAUAUCACGCAGAACUCCGAUUGCGAAGGCAGCGUACCGGCAUCCAACUGACGCUGAGGCACGAAAGCGUGGGUAUCGAACAGG
rnacentral:rRNA from 1 species